UACGGGGGGGGCAAGCGUUGUUCGGAAUUACUGGGCGUAAAGGGCUCGUAGGUGGCCAACUAAGUCAUACGUGAAAUCCCUCGGCUUAACCGGGGAACUGCGUCUGAUACUGGAUGGCUUGAGGUUGGGAGAGGGAUGCGGAAUUCCAGGUGUAGCGGUGAAAUGCGUAGAUAUCGUAAGGAAGACCGGUGGCGAAGGCGGGUCUCUGGACAGUUCCUGACGCUGAGGCACGAAGGUCAGGGGAGCAAACGGG
rnacentral:rRNA from 1 species